CCGGUCUUCUCUCUCGAACAGCUGAACGGACAAGACGUCACCUCGAAACGAUAAAGAAGAGAAAAGUCACGAAAACCAAUUGAUUGAGCGACUAGAAGAAAAGAGGAGAUAAGAAGAAAAACCAGCGGAAAAGCUGGUUUUUUUCUACGGCGUAUUUACAUCGCAUUCACAUCGGCUCGGCACGGUACUGGACAAAAGUAGCCUGAGACACGAACCGGAGAACGUACUACACAACUGCGGAAUACGGGACAAAACCAACCGAAGUCGUCCGAGUAGCAAAAUAAAAAAGUGUUCGUAAAGUCAUACACAAGGAAAUGUUAAGGUCAAGUAUCAAUUGAGGUAAAGUCGUCGGAAAAAAGUCUUAAGAGCUAUCCCAAGUCGGAACAACAUAUAUUUGGUCUAUUGCAAGCCCAUCUGUAAUUAUUC